GAAUCUAUCUCAAUAAAUGACUACUUCCAGGAUUAUAAUAGCUAAUUGGUGCUUCUUUAAAACUCUUUUUAACAAGAAAACAUAGUUGUAAAAAAAAAAAUCUUUAAAUUUAAUUCUGAAAUUUCUUAGUUAAGCCAUGAUUGUAGUAGCAAUGAGGAUAAAUGGGGAAAAAUGCAAACACAGCAUUACCUUUAUUUGCUCUGUAUUCCAGGCUGGUGCAGCUCCCCAAGAAACGAUGAUAGGCCCUCAUCUCUGCCUCUGCUAUCCGCACCACCAUGUAUGCUCUCCAGGCUGCCAAAGCAGAAGCCAACUUAGCACUGCUGCCUGCUGCUAAGGGAAUUUACCAUCUAAGGAGGCCC
rnacentral:lncRNA from 1 species